UUGCAUUGAAAAAUUUGAUUUCUCAACUUCAUUGUGUUCUAAGUAGUUUACUAAGAGAGAGUUUUGUGUGAAGACAUUGAGGGAUAGUUUUUGGCUAAGGCAAAGGCUUGGUAUUUAAGUAGUCUUUUCAGACUCACCUCCCUUACCUGGAAAACUACCUUCCUUGACUUUCCUAAAUUUUCUCAAGGUAAAAUACUUGUAUACAC
rnacentral:lncRNA from 1 species